UGGGGAAUAUUGCACAAUGGAGGGAACUCUGAUGCAGCGACGCCGCGUGAACGAAGAAGGCUUUCGAGUCGUAAAGUUCUUUUAUAUGGGAAGAUAAUGACGGUACCAUAAGAAAAAGCCCCGGGUAACUACGUGCCAGCAGCCGCGGUAAUACGUAGGGGGCUAGCGUUGUCCGGAAUCACUGGGCGUAAAGGGUUCGCAGGCGGAAAUGCAAGUCAGGUGUAAAAGGCAGUAGCUUAACUACUGUAAGCAUUUGAAACUGCAUAUCUUGAGAAGAGUAGAGGUAAGUGGAAUUUUUAGUGUAGCGGUGAAAUGCGUAGAUAUUAAAAAGAAUACCGGUGGCGAAGGCGGCUUACUGGGCUCAUUCUGACGCUGAGGAACGAAAGCGUGGGUAGCAAACAGG
rnacentral:rRNA from 1 species